ensembl:rRNA 5S_rRNA 5S ribosomal RNA
GCUGUCCGACGUCCAAUCUCCUUCAUGCUAAGCAGAGUCAGGCCUGGUUAGUCCUUGGAGGGGAGACCGCCUGGGACAAUCAGGCGCUGAAAGCU